CUUAGAACUCAGCUGCAGGAAGUUCUGGAGGGCAAGAGGAGGAGUCAGAAGGCAGUUCUGCCCCCAACAUUUCAGCAUUUGAAGCAGAAGAAACCUGACCCCCAGAGAAGAUUGAAAAGCAAGCACCUGGCUGCCGCAGCUGGAAGAAUCCCGCCCGAAGGCUUUCCUGACCUUUCACAAGGACAACCACCAGGAUCACAGUGAAGAGAACG